GAUGUGGAAAUAAAACAAGUUAGCAGUUGUGUAUCUUCAUGAAGAUUAAAACAAUUUAAAGCUAUUUGAUGGCUUCUUCUAGACACAGAGACAUCCUCUGUGUCACCUAGGGCUUCUAUUAUAUGGCACAGGAAAGCUGAAGUCAGCAUACCCCAGACAACUUUCUCGGAAGAGUUGCUCACCUCUAUUUAUGUGGGACCCACCUGAAUGCAAUAAUUAAGAAGAAUCCAUUCUAUUUCAACAUUCAUUUGUAAUGACACAGAGAAUUUCUUAACUUGAGGUUUCAUACAGACAAUGGGGAGAUUGGUUAUAAACAAAUACACCUACCUUUAGUUGAGAAAUGGGUAUAAUUUAUAGUAGAGUUAACCAAAGCAAAACAUUACUUAUUGAAACUAUAAAUAGUAGAUAUUCUGAGGAUUUGAUAUAAACGUUCAAUUUCUCCUCACCAAUAAAGUGGUGAUAGUAGGUAGGAAGAUAGGACCAGGUUAAUAAUCUCUGCCUAGAUAAAUCAGAUUUGGAUUUCUUUUCUUACAUUCUAUUUGACUUAGAGUGUUUUUCAGUUUGUUUUAUGAAACAGCAAUAGGCUUAAUUAUGUAGUGUCCAUAUAUGUGUUCCUAACACUAAUUGAAAAAAUACAAUGUUUGAAAUUUAUUUAAAUUACUAUAACAUUAUAAGUAAAAUUGUUAUAAAUUUUGAAAAAUGCAUAAAAGCUAACAAAUAUGUACUAAUGCAUUGAUCCUCUACAUCCUAUUAUAUUUGCUUCAAAUUAUCAAAACAUUCUUAUGCCUAUUGCAAUUAAAGGAAAUAUAAAUUAGGAUGUACUUAUAUAGUUCUUGGCACAUAUUUAGAAUUCUAUUUUUUAUUAUAAUUAAUAAAAGUGUAUAUUCCUUAAUAAGAAUUAUAAGUGGAAUAAGGCAUACAUUACAAUGAGGUAUGUGAUACCUCCUUGAAACUAUGGUUUAGCAGAAAAAUUAGAUAAACAAUAAAACCAAUAAAGGUUAAUAGAUAUUAUGAUAGGCCAAAUAUAGAUUUCCUUAAAAAUAUAUAACUGGAGCAAGCUAUCCACCUAAUGGUUACUUUUCUUUUUAUCCAGAAGCUCUGGUAUGCACAUGCUCGCUCUUGCGGCAUGUUCGUGCACGCGCUCUCUCUAUAUAUAGUUUAUUGAAGGAAUGGUUUAAUAUGAGCGCUGACUUCCAAAUUGUUUCUAAUGUUCUCCACAUUCAGUAAUUUAACAUAUAUUUCAUAUUCCAGUCUUUCCAGAGAAAAAAGGAUCUUUCCUUUUGUGUUGGAGUUGAAAACUGAUAUCCCACUGGGCAAGCCUGUAUGCCCCCUGACAACUAUUUUUUAAACUUAAUUAUAAGCAACUUAAAGGUUUAAUUGUUUUGCCAUUUCACACCCAAUGUUAAAUAAGUAAUUUUCUUUUUAUGUAUAGUAUUUAUCACUUUAUAUAAAUCAUGAGGCAGAGAUAACAAUAAAUAUAUACAGAGAAAUUAAAAUUAACUUUUCCAAGAAAGCACAAAACAAUUACAUUGAGAGUUUCUCUGUAGAGUCACUGGUGAUCAAUGACUACUUUACAAAAGAAGUUAAGGUUAUCAAACAAGAAUGAUUCUUGGGAGUUCCAUUGUGGCACAGUGGGUUAAGGAUCUGGCAUUGUCAUUGCAGCAGCUUGGUUUCAAUCCCUGGCUCAGGACCUUCCACAUGCCAUGGGUGCAGCCACAGAAAUAAAUAAAUAAAUAAAUAAAUAAAUAAAUAAAGGAAUGAUUCUUCAAAUUGUUCUUCAAAUUGCAAUCACAACCUAAAGGAACAUUCCCCAAGUCCCCUGGAGUGAAGAUGUUUAACUGCAAAUUCAUGGCCCUCAAGGGUUUCAUUACUGGGCAUGGUAAGAAGCAGGGGUGACAACUUUUGCUCUCUGCAUACAUUGCGCAUCUUUCUGGAGAGAGGAUCUGUACUUUUAAUCUGUUUCUCAAAUGGAGUCACAACUGUAAAAUGGCAAGAAACCCUGUUCUCAAGGGUGUGGCAAGUCAACUUAAAUCUAUAGGAAGGGACCAAAUGACAGAAGUAGCAGCAUAUAGCCUCUUCCAGUUGGAACUAGAUGACUCCUGGUGAGUCCCUGUUCUAGUUUUCUUUCAAACCCCUGCAAGAUUGAUGACAGGUCAUUUUUCAGCAUGCUACAAAAAGCCAUAAAGUCCCUAUGAUAGUUUCCGUAAAGGUUAGCUGGUUGAUUUGUGACCUGGGAAGUCUUUUCUUCCAGCUUAUGAUUUUCCAAAAGAAAGUUUGUGGGGAAAGAUC
ensembl:lncRNA